CUAAUAACCGGAUAACAACAGAUGAUGCCUAUCAACUGUUUAAAAGAAUGGUUCUGCUAUCACUCUUGGAUGGACCUGCGGUGCAUUAGCUAGUUGGUAGGGUAACGGCCUACCAAGGCGAUGAUGCAUAGCCGAGUUGAGAGACUGAUCGGCCACAUUGGGACUGAGACACGGACCCAAACUCCGUACGGGGAGGCAGCAGUU
rnacentral:rRNA from 1 species